UAAGUUUGAUGGCGACCGGCGCACGGGUGAGUAACACGUAUCCAACCUGCCGAUGACUCGGGGAUAGCCUUUCGAAAGAAAGAUUAAUACCCGAUGGCAUAGUUCUUCCGCAUGGUGGAACUAUUAAAGAAUUUCGGUCAUCGAUGGGGAUGCGUUCCGUUAGGUUGUUGGCGGGGUAACGGCCCACCAGGCCUUCGAUGGAUAGGGGUUCUGAGAGGAAGGUCCCCCACAUUGGAACUGAGACACGGUCCAAACUCCUACGGGAGGCAGCAUG
rnacentral:rRNA from 1 species